rnacentral:rRNA from 1 species
UACGUAGGGGGCAAGCGUUGUCCGGAUUUAUUGGGCGGAAAGAGCGUGUAGGCGGCCAGGUAGGUCAGCUGUGAAAACUCGAGGCUCAACCUCGAGAUGUCGGCUGAAACCAUCUGGCUAGAGUCCGGAAGAGGAGAAUGGAAUUCCCGGUGUAGCGGUGAAAUGCGCAGAUAUCGGGAAGAACACCCGUGGCGAAGGCGGUUCUCUGGGACGGUACUGACGCUGAGACGCGAAAGCGUGGGGAGCGAACAGG